UUACGAAAGUACGAUGCUUUACAGAAAGAUUCAUUGAAUCAAAGUGCAUUAGAAUUUCGAAUCAACAACAAAUUUUUGGAAUUGUCACGAAAUUUACAAGGAAGAUAUUAUUGAAUUUUAACAUACUAAAAAUCUAAAAUGGAUAGCAAACCGCCAACUAAGAAAGGAAACAAGAAGAAAUCUGAUGAUGGCUCUCGAACUUCUCCACGGCGUAAACAAGGGAACACGAAUUUCAGUCUAACGCAGAUGCCAUCUAAAGGUAUAGAUAUUCCCGAAUUAACAUAUUCGGUCAAAGAACGAAUAAAACGAUACGAAAGUUUUAAUAGAAAGAAUCCUGUUAUCAUUUUGACGAGGUCUCAAUCUGCAAAAGAUGUUGGACAGAAUUUGUGUUACAGUGAUUUGAAAACUAUGAAAGUUGUGCCGUUUAGCAAAUCUGAUUCCAGCCUGGAAACCAUGGCCAAAGCUGGUACCAGCGAAGAAAGAACAAAAAUUGAUACAUUACAUUUAAGUACAACUGUUCAUAAAUGGGAAGUCAGUAAAAUUAAAAGUCAGUUCGAAGCUAAAUAUAAAUCUGAAACAGAUGUUUCAAGAGAUUCUAGCGUAGAUAAACUCGGAGCUUCGAGUUCGAGUGAAGCCCCGCAACAAAAAGAAGUUUGUACUAUUUCAACUGUACAUAAAGAUGAUCCUGGCUCGAAAACAACCGAUAAUAUAAGUUUAAAUAAAACACAUAAUGCAACGGUUCCUAAAAUUCAACUUGAAGAUCUGUUUAAGGCAAAAUCCAAAUUAAAACCUGCCAGCUUUGUCUGUUCAAAUAAGGGUAGAAGAGAAAUAUUAGACACUAUUACAAAGACAGGUGAAGGAGCUGAAGAUGAAUCUGAUAUGAAAAAGAUAUCAAACGUCAAACCAGAUGAUGAAACUCCUACUCGGAAUAUAUCACAAUCUACUGUGCUUUCUAGGAAACUCCAAUAUGAAUCGCUAAUAUCGCGUAUGACGAAUCCAAGAAAAACGGAGGAAAAAGCAUUACAAAUGAAUAACAAUAAAUGUCCAAAAGACAAUAAUCUCCAGUCGAAACGUGUGUUUGAAAAAAGUUUGGGUAAAAGUAAAGAAAUCAAUAAAAAUCUCAUCGAAAAAGAAAGAAAAAAUAAACUGGACGUUAUAACUGUAGACGUAGUUGAGCAGGGGUUGAAAGCUUCAACCGAUUCACCUAUCACUAAAAGUAACACAAAGUAUUCAGAGAUAAAGUCUGGAAAGCACAGUAGUAGUUGCACUCCCUUUGAAGCUAGCUAUGAAACAGAACUUGCUAUAAUUAAAGCAUUUGAUGGUAUCGAUUUAGCAGAAGCUGAUUAUGAACUGCAAAACACGCUUCCUUAUGCGACUCUAAGUGAACAUGAAAAUCAAAAAUUAAUUCUCUCUCCCAGACCUAAUACAACUAUUGAUAAAGUAGUACUUUCAACUGCUAGCCUGAAUACAAUUGAACCCGAAAAGAAAGUUAUUUUCUCUAAGUCAUCUGAACUUCAACCUUCUACUAGUAGUACUGUGGAUAGCUAUAAAUCAGAAUUUUUCACUCCGCCUAGAGAGAAACGAGAAACUUAUAUUUCUAGUACCAAUAAUAAACCAGAAGCUUCUGUCGUUAGUAGCAGGUUUUCAGAAAUUUUUUACGAACAAGGAACACUUUUCUCCGUCUCACCUAUGUCUGAAUUUAAAACCCCUCCCACUAGUCCAAUCAUAUAUAAAACCCCACCUAACAUCUCACCUGAAUUUAGCAACAAAAAGAAAGUUUCUUCUCCUCUUGACUCAACACGAAGUGAAUAUAUAACUUUUUUGGAUGGUGCUGCUGCUUCUGCUUCUUCUUCUUCUCCUUUGGCGGUGAAGGAUGCUGCUUCUCCUCCCUGGUAUACUGCUAAAGCAGAAACUUCAUAUUCUACUAUUUUCGAAGAAAAUUUUAACAUGGUAUCAGAAGCUAACCCAUAUAUGCAUAGUUACGAAGAUUUUGUCUAUCAUAUUCGUGAAACAUCCGAAAAAACUGCUGCAUUGUCAAUUCAAAAUGAUUUAGAAUAUGCCGAACGCUUUUCUAAAAUAGCUUUAGUAGAUCCUACUUUUUCUUUAACAAUUCCUGAAUCAGUCCAACAAGAACAACAGCACAAUUUAGAUUAUGACAAAUAUUUCUUCAUAAAUGAAAGUACAGGUGCCGUUCGCAAAGGAAUAGGAAGACUUAAGCCACCGAAAUCAAAAUUCUUCUCUGAUAAACUCCUUGAAGAAUCUUUAGAGUUGUUAGCGAAUUUCUUAUUCAUUAAAUCUACUGAAAAAUUAACUUUAUACAUCAGAUGUUUGCAGAAAAUAUGAAUAACGAAGAAGGUAACAAUAAAUUAAUAUGGUUGCUGAAUUCUGUGCUGGUAAUGAAUAUGGAAGAAAUUUUGUUGUCCAAUAAUUUUCUACAAGAUUUGAAAUUAUCACAAAUAAUAAGGAUGGCGCGGAGGAAUUUACUCAAAUUGGCAUUAAUCGAUUUUCCUCGUUAUUAUCGAAAAUCUAAUAAAGAAUUUAAUUUUCCAUUGUUUGAACUUUCACACGAAGAGACAGGUGUUAAGGAAUUUUUAGAAACUG
rnacentral:misc_RNA from 1 species